UUUUUAAAAAAAUAUGAAAUUUAUUUUCUAAAAGUUUCAAAUACUCUAAAUCAUAUUUAAUGGAGUGGGUCGUCGAUUCGGAAGCUCCAUUACCGAAAAUAAUACCAGUUUUUAGCCUAUAUAGAGUUGGACUGGGCUACUAUUAGUAGCAAAAUUUCAUUGUUGCUACCAGUUUUUUAGCCUUUGGAUCAACUCUUUUUAUCAUUUCUAACAAUUGGAUUAAAUACUAUAACCCAGUGGGGACCACUCAACUCUAGGGGGACCACUCAACUCUAACUCACUAAUAUCAUUCUAACCCUACAAUUUUUCAUCCAAGGGUUAAAAACUUGAUAGCAAAAAGAGAGUUUUACUACUAAUAAUA
rnacentral:lncRNA from 1 species